UACGGGAGGCAGCAGUGAGGAAUAUUGGUCAAUGGGCGAGAGCCUGAACCAGCCAAGUAGCGUGCAGGAAGACGGCCCUAUGGGUUGUAAACUGCUUUUAUAUAGGGAUAAAGUCGGGGACGUGUCCCCGUUUGUAGGUACUAUAUGAAUAAGGACCGGCUAAUUCCGUGCCAGCAGCCGCGGUAAU
rnacentral:rRNA from 1 species